AACGAACGGCAGCGGCAGCUGGAAGUAAACUGCUAAAAUAAUCUCUUCACAUGAAUUCCACAGUCACGACGCUUUGAAACAUGUCGCGUAACUCGUUCGAAUAACAAAACGUCGUUUAUUUGGUGCAAAUUUUCAUAUUUUGAUACGUUUUGAGGUUUUGCUAUCUAAAAUAAAAUAAACUUCCGGUUCCGUGUCCCGCCUCCCAGUCACGUUAACCUUGUCCAGCCAAUGAGAUUCUAGGACCAAAAAAAGCGCGAUUUCGAAGUUUAAAUGGCUGUCGAUCAAAGCCAAUGGCGACAGAAGCGGAGACACCUACGGGAGAUUUGUCUACGAGACUGCAGUUGAACACACAGGUGGCGCUGCAGGUACUGCACGUGUGUGAUGACGAUGACAACAACAACAACAGAAGCCUCCUUGAUGCGAGCGGUUGAUGGAAGACUCCGUCACAGCAGCUCCAUACAUGUGUAUGUAGCUCCACAGAAAAGUUUAGGUGCCAGUGCUGCUUUUUUGCCUUGUUUUCGAGGAGAAGCUGAUCUGCAGACCUCGUGCCUUAGAGGGAGGAUCCAACUCUCAGAGGUCUGAGACAUAAUGUGGUGCCGAACCAUUCAAGACUACAAACAACCAGAAACAUUUUAAAAUGAAUCCUAAAACCGACAGAAGCCAGUGGAGAGUGAUGUGGUCAUGUUUACGUCGAGAUGCUGAAUUUUGGACUAACUGUGAACACGGGGAGGACCUGUGGUUGACAGCAGCGUACAGCAGAUUACAGCGGUCCAGACCAAUAAAAGCAUGAAUCACACAUUAAAAGCUUUUGAAAUCAAACCAGUUCUAUACUGUUUUGAUUUCAGAUAAAAUCGUAGCUGAUAAAAAACUGGACUUCACGACAGAAUGUAUCCGUUUAUGGAGUUUUAAAUCAGUGUCCAUGUUAAAACCAAGGUUUUUGCAAAAGGUUGCCAUGGACCCAGACUGUGAUGCAGAUUUGAGUUUCAUCGCCACAUAAACACAUUUACAAAAAUCUGUCUGGACUUUUAUUGUGGUAAUGUUU